UAGAUUUCUCCUAAGUCAAAUAUGUCCAACUUUGACUAAGUUUAUUGAAAAAUACAACAACAAUUAUAAUACCAAACAUAUGCACUAUCAGAAUAUAUUCCAUUGUGGAUUUAAUGAAAUAAGUUUGGUAUUGUAGAUGUUGUUGGAUUUUUCAUCAAAGUGGCACAAGUUUGACUUAGGAUAAACCUAA
rnacentral:pre_miRNA from 1 species